rnacentral:lncRNA from 1 species
AUGUUAAGAAUAAGUUCGUACACCCCGUACAUAUACAAAUGCACAACAAUAAAAAGUUUGAACAAAUUUUAUGUUUAUAUAAAACCCAAAACAUAUUUUGAUUUAAUAAAUUUUACAAAGGGUUUGUAUUCUUACUUAUGUAACAAUCCGUAUAAAAAUGAUUAUUUAAUUUUAAAAUUUGCAAAAAGAUUAUUCAGUGACAUUCCUAAGAUAUCUCUUAACAAGUUUGUUGCAACUGAUAAAAAAGAUAUAUGUCUUAUAAUUUUAUUAUAUUUAAAAUGUAAAACAUUAAAUAAAAAUUUUUCGAUUGAUAAAAAUAUAAUUAAAUACUUAAGUGUGGCCAUCGAUAGAAACAUAAACAAUUUGGAUGAAGAUGAUUUUUCAACAGUACUUAGAUUUUUAAGUUAUAUUAAUAAUAAUAAAUUAUAUUCAGGAAAGAAUAAUUAUAACAGUAAUAAUAAUGGUAACAUUAAUAAAAGUAACGAGAAGAUUAGUAAAAAAAAAAAUUACGAAAACUAUGAAAACAAUUAUGAUAUAACUUCGAAAAUUACUAAAAAAAUAAUAAAUCGAAGUAGUAAUUAUUUACAUAAUUUUAAACAAACAAAAAAUUUAUGUAUAUUAUAUAGUUAUUUAUGUAGAGAAAAUAUAUCGAUUGAAUUGCAUAAUAAUAUACUGAAAGAAAUAUUUAAACAUAUAAAUAAAUGUAAAGACACUGAUUUAACAAAUUUAUUUUUUAAUUUAUAUCAUAUUAAUAUUUAUUUUUUUAAUCAGUUUUUAAAUAAAAUAGCACAGCAUGUUGUAAAAAAGAAUGUUGAAAAAGAGAAUGUUGUAAAAGAGGAUGUUGUAAAAGAGGAUGUUGUAAAAGAGGAUGUUGUAAAAGAGAAUGUUGUAAAAGAGGAUGUUGUAAAAGAGAAUGUUGUAAAAGAGAAUGUUGUAAAAGAGAAUGUUGUAAAAGAGAAUGUUGUAAAAGAGGAUGUUGUAAAAGAGAAUGUUGUAAAAGAGGAUGUUGUAAAAGAGGAUGUUGUAAAAGAGGAUGUUGUAAAACAUAAUGUUGUAAAACAGAAUGUUGAAAAACAGAAUGUUGAAAAACAGAAUGUUGAAAAACAGAAUGUUGAAAAAGAAAAAAAAAUAUUUACAGAUUUGACCGUAUGUAAAAUGCAGAAUAAGAAAAAAAAAAUAAAUGCCGAUAUUGGAACUGUGAUAAAUGGGGAAAAAAUUCCUAAUUGUUACGAUAUAUCUUGUAAAUUUUUAAAUACAAAAUGGCAGUCUAAACAAUGUGUUGAUAGUACAUAUACCAAUAUAAAAGUAUCAACUUAUUAUAGGGAAAAAAAAAAUGAAAAUAUACCUUUAGUUUCUGUAUAUUCAUCAUACUAUAAAAAAAAAUACCAUUUAUGAUUAUAACAAAAAUGUUAAUAAUGUAAUGAAAAAUUGUAACAAUUUGUUUAAUAUAUAUAGUUGUAAUAUUUAUGUAUAUAAUUUUAUAAAUCAAUAUAAUAAAAUUUUUUUGAAUAGAAAAAUAAAAAAAUUA